CCUCCAGUUGUCCUGAGCCUUCGCGACGCACAGUCUGGAGGAAUUGAACUAAGCAGAAUCCAGGCAUGGCGACUUCCGGGAUAAAAAUGUGACUUCUGCUUUCCCUGUGACACCUCUGUCCCCUCACUGUCUGUUAGAACCCAUAUUCUGCCUAUGCGCAGAUGAUUAUGGUGGCAAAUACUGUGAGUUAGCAGGAUCAGAUGGUGACAGGGGUCCCAGCAGGGCCAGACAGCCAGGCGGAUUCGAUGGUGACGGGGGCCUCAACAGGGUCAGGCAGCCAGGGAAGACCAGUCUGUGACAGAGGGCCAUGGAUCCCUAGGGGCAGGAUGUGGUGACCCAGCUAUAUUGUGUUAUGAACACGGUUUUCCUUGUAAUGCUGAGAGAUUGAAAGAGACACAGAAGAGAACGAACUCGUAAAAGCACAGCCCCCUUCAUUAUCGACGCAUCGUGGCGAUAACAUCAAAGCGGAUUCCCAGACAGAGUCAGCCAGAGUCUGUCGCUUCAGCCAGGCAAUAAAACAUUCCUAGCCUGGUUCCAAAUUGGUUUGUGCUGUCUUGCCAACUCCUCUGGUCAUUGGAGGGACCCACCAGGCUAUUAAAUUCUAAUCUCACUGGUAUUGAUUUUUUUGUUUGUAUGCUGUGUGAAGGUCAAGAGUAAAACGUUAGUGCAUGUGUCAUGGGAUUUGAGACUCUAAUCAUAAUAAUGUGGAUCGGAGUGGUUAAUUUAUGUUUCCCAUACAACCCUACUGAAGCUAAAGGCUAUAGAUGGUCAGUGUGCAGAGGAGAGCAGCUCUGUGAGGACUGUCAGUCUACCCCAGGCACGCCAGGCCAUUGACACGAGAUCCUGCUGUGAGAUAGCUGUUUACAGCAAAGAGAAGGAUCGUCUACAACAUACAGAACCAGGGCAAGGUAUUCAUAAAGUAUCUCAGAGAGGAGUGUUGAUCUAGGAUUCAGGGGCUAUAUGCCUUAUUGUCCAUUAUCUUACAGAGAACAGAAAUGUGUCUUUGUGCUCACAACCCAAUGGGCUAGAAGCAAUGGGUCAGCCACAGUGCAGCACUUGAAGGUGGUUAAGUGUAGCAACUCUGUGAAGAUCUCCUUCCAGUGACUCACCAGUGACAGCUUGUUUUAUGGUUAUCCCCCUAUACAACAUGCAACCCUCACCGCCCACACAACCACACCACCCAGGAGCCUCGACCUAGUCAUGCCUCUGGAAUCUCUCUUGAUCAGGGCUCAACCUUAAACCACAAGGCUUCAGAUCUUUUACCCAAUGGUCAUGUAAACGUAAUUAAGGUUAGACUUGUCUUUCAAAUUAGUCAUCUGGAUGAAUGGAAUACUUCAUACCUCCAAUUACGCUGGAAGGCCUGUUGGGGACUGAUGAUUAAUGUGGGUUUGUAGGAGUCAGUCAGUUGAUAGUCUCGUCCACCAGUCGACUCUCUUUCUGUUGAACCCAUACUUAUGUGGUAGCAAUUAGCCCGUGGACGAGGUUAGUCAGUUAAUAUCAAAACAUUUAGCCUAUGUUUUUGAAAUCCUUCAGUGUUAUUAGUGCCUGAUGAUAGUCUUGAGUUUUUCAACAACUCAUUCAUUCCAAUCUGUCCAUAAAAGGAGACAGUGUUGAAUUGCAGCUGUUGAAAGAUACAUUCCUUCUCUAUUGGCAAGAAAUAUUAUCUGUGACUGAAUCGUCAUCUUACUUUGUCAACCGUGUUCACACCAUUAAUUACAAGCUCCAUAAACACAUUAACAAUAGAAUAGUGGUUUUAGGUUAUGAACCUAAUGUCAUGCCCUGACCUUAGAGAUCCUUUUUAUUCUCUAUUUUGGUUAGGUCAGGGUGUGACUAGGGUGGGUAGUCUAGUUUUUUCAUUUCUACGCACGCUGUGCCUUGGUCCAUUCAAUGUAACGUUUGUGACACCUAACAUAUAACUUUAUUACAAAUGUGUGAUAUAUGUCCACAUAACUCACUCACUGCAUAUAUACGUACACUUCCCUCCUUAUGUAUUUGGACAGUGAAUAUAAAAUGUUUCAUUUGUUUCUAUACUCCAGCAUUUUGGAUUUGAGUUCAAAUGUUUCAUGUGAGGAGACAGUACAGAAUGUCAAACAUCUGUUUUACAUUAUUACAAAUGUACUUAGUGAAUUAAAGUACUCAAAAGUUUAGUAUUUUGUCCCAUAUUCCUUGCACAUAGCAUGUUUUGUUGUUGCCUCUGUUACUUUCUCAAUCAUCAACAUUCAUGAUUUUUCUUAAUCAUGGUAUUAUCAGGUCUCCACCGAACUAGGUAAAUCCGCUUUUAGUUUUAAAGCACCUCAUUGCUGGAACCAACUACAAAAUGCAUUUCAGUUGGAUGUUCUGGUGCAGCACGGGCAAUUACAAAUAUUGAUUGGGGACCUUCUUAUUGAAGAAUGUAAUUGUUUUUCUUGAAUAUUUGUGUUGUGAUGUAUUUUAAUUGUUUUGUAUUUUAUUUUGAAAUAGUAUAUAUAUAUGCAGGUCUCCCUUGUGAAAAAGACCCUGGUCUCAAUGGUGACUACCUGCUUAAAUAAAAUAAACAUAUUUUUGAUGUGUUCAUAAA